UACGGGGGGGGCAAGCGUUGUUCGGAAUUACUGGGCGUAAAGGGCGCGUAGGCGGUUGGAUAAGUCAGCUGUGAAAACCACGGGCUUAACUCGUGGCCUGCAGUUGAGACUGUCUGGCUUGAGUGUGGGAGAGGAGAGUGGAAUUCCUGGUGUAGCGGUGAAAUGCGUAGAUAUCUGGAGGAACACCGGUGGCGAAGGCGGCGUCCUGGACCAACACUGACACUGAUGAGCGAAAGCCAGGGGAGCAAACGGG
rnacentral:rRNA from 1 species